CAAACAUUUAAUUAAGACUGCAGAAUAUUGCGGUACCGUGUAAUCCGUCUCCUUUCAGCCUCUUGAAAUAGUCGGUUCAAGCCAAGCACAAAAGAAUAACGUUGUAUAUGAAGCUUUUCAUUUCUGUUUAUGGUGAGUUUGAGAUUGGAAAAAGCAAUAACGUAUUGUUUGUAGGGCUGAAUGAAGCCGAGGCUUUCAAGUCUGCAGACUGGCACGUUUGAGGGCACGUGGAAUCAAAUGGCUAUCAAGGAAGAAAGGAAGAGCUUCCUGAUCCCAGAGGGCUGUGGUUCUAAAGCUGCUGGCAAUUCAGAGAAGCAGACUGAGUAUUGGAAUUGGGUGUCUACGUGGAAACUGGUUCUGCUUUAUUGAGCAGGGUAUGCUCUUGUGUUACAGGAGCUGUGUGUACAAAGCCACAGCAGAUGGGACCUGCAGGACAACCACAGGCAUCGCUCGUGCCCCACAUCUGUAACACACUUGGGUCUGUGUGAUCAUAACAACGGAGUUAAAUCCAGCUGGCAACUGGAUUGGAGCCUGUCCUGUUUAAUAUCUUUUACUGAUGAUCUGGAUGAGGGAAUGGAGCGCACCCUUGCCCCCAUUUAGAUACCAGUUCCAUGAUUGUGGUUGUUGCCAGAGAUAGCCUGGUGGGACGGAGCAGGAGUCUUGGCAGCAGGCACAGGGCUGCUGUGUGUGCCUGCAGGGAGGGGCAAGCACGACAAAACUUGGUGAGGAGCCCUUUGGAGCACGGGAAGACAGGAGGGCUUGGGCAAGGAGGGAUAUGUCUGCCCCCCAUCCCGUCCCCAUCCUCGCAAGGAGCAGGUGUGUGGAGCUGCACCUUCCUCCAGCUUCCCUGCGGCCUGCCUGGUGCACUCCCUGCGCAGCUGGGGAAUUAAGCAACUAAUUCUCAUUAGUGUCAGUGCGCCUCGCACAUAACUCUAAACUACCAAUUAAAGUUAUCGAUUCAGAUCAGUAAGGGUACUAAAUUCCAGCCGGAACAGAAAAAGCAAGUACUAAACUUACGGGGACAAUCUGUUUAAUGCUGCAGUGGAUUAAAGUAACUGAUUUAUCAUCUUUGUCUCUUUACAAACACUAAUCCUUGGGAUGGAGGUCCUGACCGACUCCUGUGCCAUUGCAGUUGUUCAUUUCCUCUGGCUGGGACAGCUGUCAAUCCCACACCGCUGCCCGAGAGCAUCUCACCCG
ensembl:lncRNA